GACGAACGCUGGCGGCGUGCUUAACACAUGCAAGUCGAACGGAAAGGCCCUGCUUUUGUGGGGUGCUCGAGUGGCGAACGGGUGAGUAACACGUGAGUAACCUGCCCUUGACUUUGGGAUAACUUCAGGAAACUGGGGCUAAUACCGGAUAGGAGCUCCUGCUGCAUGGUGGGGGUUGGAAAGUUUCGGCGGUUGGGGAUGGACUCGCGGCUUAUCGGCUUGUUGGUGGGGUAGUGGCUUACCAAGGCUUUGACGGGUAGCCGGCCUGGGAGGGUGACCGGCCACAUUGGGACUGCGAUACGGCCCAGACUCCUACGGGAGGCAGCAGUGGGGAAUAUUGCACAAUGGGCGGAAGCCUGAUGCAGCAACGCCGCGUGCGGGAUGACGGCCUUCGGGUUGUAAACCGCUUUCGCCUGUGACGAAGCGUGAGUGACGGUAAUGGGUAAAGAAGCACCGGCUAACUACGUG
rnacentral:rRNA from 1 species